UACGGGGGGGGCAAGCGUUGUUCGGAAUUACUGGGCGUAAAGGGCUCGUAGGUGGCCAACUAAGUCAGACGUGAAAUCCCCAGGCUCAACUUGGGAACUGCGUCUGAUACUGGAUGGCUUGAAUUCGGGAGAGGGAUGCAGAAUUCCAGGUGUAGCGGUGAAAUGCGUAGAUAUCUGGAGGAAUACCGGUGGCGAAGGCGGCAUCCUGGACCGAGAUUGACACUGAUGAGCGAAAGCUAGGGAGCAAACGGG
rnacentral:rRNA from 1 species